AUACCCUCGGAAAACUGAGGCUAAUACUUGAUAGGGGAAUUCUACUGGAAUGUGUUUUCCUUAAAAAGCAAUGCCCAAGGAUGAGUUGGCGGCGGAUUAGCUUGUUGGUGGGGUAAUGGCCCACCAAGGCAUUGAUCCGUAGGGGCCUUGGAAGAGGUAGCCCCGAGAAGGACACUGAGAUACUGGUCCUAGCCCCACGGGGUGCAGCAGGCGCGAAAACUUUACACUACACGAAAGUGUGAUAAGGGGAUUCCAAGUGCGUAUACACAUGUAUACGCUUUUUAUUAGGGCAAAGUCCUAGUAGAAUAAGUGGUGGGUAAGACCGGUGCCAGCAGCCGCGGUAAUCCCGGCGCCACAAGUGGGGAUCAGGGUUAUUGGGCCUAAAGCGUUCGUAGCAGGUCGGAUAAAUCUCUUGUGAAAUUGUUGGGCUUAACCUAACGGCGUGCAGGAGAGACUGUUCGACUAGAGACCGGGAGGGGUAGAGAGUAUUCCUUGGGGAGCGGUAAAAUGCUAUAAUCCUUGGAAGACUACCUGUGGCGAAGGCGCUCUACCAGAACGGGUCUGACUGUGAGGGACGAAAGCCAGGGGAGCAAUCCGGAUUAGAUACCCGAGUAGUCCUGGCUGUUUCUCUGCGAGCAAGGUGUUGCAUAUUCUAAUAUGAAUAUGCAGUGUCGAAGAGAAGUCGUUAAGCUCGCCGCCUGGGAAGU
rnacentral:rRNA from 1 species